rnacentral:rRNA from 1 species
UACGGAGGGGGCUAGCGUUGUUCGGAAUUACUGGGCGUAAAGCGCGCGUAGGCGGCUUUGUAAGUUAGAGGUGAAAGCCCGGGGCUCAACCCCGGAACUGCCUUUAAGACUGCAUCGCUUGAAUCCAGGAGAGGUGAGUGGAAUUCCUAGUGUAGCGGUGAAAUGCGCAGAUAUUAGGAAGAACACCGGUGGCGAAGGCGGCUCUCUGGAACGGUACUGACGCUGAGACGCGAAAGCGUGGGGAGCGAACAGG